rnacentral:misc_RNA from 1 species
UUUCCGUAGGUGAACCUGCGUAGGGAUCAUUACUGAGUGAGGGCCUUCGGGCUCGACCUCCAACCCUUUGUGAACCAAACUUGUUGCUUCGGGGGCGACCCUGCCGCAUCGGCGGUGCGGCGCCCCCGGAGGCCAUUAAACACUGCAUCAUUGCGUCGGAGUUAAAGUAAAUUAAACAAAACUUUCAACAACGGAUCUCUUGGUUCCAGCAUCGAUGAAGAACGCAGC